CGUGAAGUGGGAUCCAGGACAAACCGCUGCGUGUUCAUCGAUGAAAUCAGGUCUGGCGAGGGAAACGUGAUUUUCUGUAAUUCUCCAGGAAGGAAAGUCAUAGUUCGUACUUUGGGAGAGUACACAGAUUUGAGACGACAG